GAUGAAGAACGUAGCGAAAUGCGAUACGUAAUGUGAAUUGCAGAAUUCAGUGAAUCAUCGAGUCUUUGAACGCACAUUGCGCCCCCUGGUAUUCCGGGGGGCAUGCCUGUCCGAGCGUCAUUACAACCCUCAGGCCCCCGGGCCUGGCGUUGGGGAUCGGCGGAAGCCCCCUGCGGGCACAACGCCGUCCCCCAAAUACAGUGGCGGUCCCGCCGCAGCUUCCAUUGCGUAGUAGCUAACACCUCGCAACUGGAGAGCGGCGCGGCCACGCCGUAAAACACCCAACUUCUGAAUGUUGACCUCGAAUCAGGUAGGAAUACCCGCUGAACUUAAGCAUAUCAAUAAGCGGAGGA
rnacentral:misc_RNA from 1 species